GCCUGCUUGGUGGAAUCGGUAGACACAGCAGACUUAAAAUCUGCCGCCCAAAAGGCGUACCAGUUCGAGUCUGGUAGUAGGCACCA
rnacentral:tRNA from 1 species